GGAUGUCUCAGUUAAAGGCAAACCUUAGCAUGAAAACGAGGAAUCAAAGAAGUCAUUGGCUAUUGCGAUGGACAAUGGAUUAUGCCACUACGGGGUUUGCCAAAAGCUUUUCCAUGGAGACAAACACAAACAAAGAGGUUUGGAAAGCGAAAGUUACUGAAUUCUGGCCACGCACUGCAUUAGCUCCGCCCGCGCCUAUUGGACAGCUUCCAGAAUGAGAGUACGAAGAAUUGACCUCUACCACGCGACAUGUUCUUUGGCCCGUCAUCAAUUAAUCACAAAAGUUGUCAGGCAAGAGGUAAUCAAUAGUUGAAAAAAUUCUUUAAUGUUUGAUAGAAAACCUACUAAAGAGUUUGUAAUACUCUUUUUCAGAUUUUGUUAUUUGUACAGUCCAUUUGAACUUAUUUUGCAUAAAAAAUGAUUUAUUUUGCUGAUUUCCAAACUUAGUUUUUGAAAUAUUAAAAAUUCAAAAAAAAAACUGAAAAAUGCAUCUUUCGAAUUUUUAAAUAUUUGAAUAACUAAGGUUGUAAACCUUCUAGAAAAAACCUUUUUGUGUGCUAAAACAACUAAACAGAUUGAGUUUGCAUAAAUUCAAACACUACGCUUGAUUUUCAGGAUAACGUUGGAUAUCUUCGUAUCCUUCGUUCUAGUUAUUGGAAAACGUGUCAGGCUAAUAGAAGAGAAAAAUAUUUGAAAGAGAAAAGCAAUAAAUUGCACAAGACAAGACAAGACAAGAUUUAUGUGGUUCGGUAAUUUUACCUACUUCACGGCCACACAAAGAAUAACUCUUUAUUAAUUGAAGAGAGAAAGAAGAAGUUGAGGGAUGAUUUGCAAAUGAAAAUGCACACCCCUUUUAUAGGCAUUUGAGUGCUCUGCCGAGGUAAGUGCUUACAUCAUACGAAUGCCGAUGUAAGUGCAUACAUCAUAAGAAUGCCGAUGUAAGCACUUACAUCAUAAAUUCAUCUCUUUUUGAUUUUUCUUUCUUUUGUUUUGUCCACUUUUCUUUCUUUCACAUACAACAACAGGUUUGCUACUAUCAAUCUCCCCCUCAAACCUAUGUUAUAUCAAUAAAGAAAUUAAAAUAAAUAUUUUCUAUUCUCUGGUGGCGCCUUCACCCUAUCAGUCUUGAAGGCUAAUUGAGGCAGUGCACAACCUCAGUUUGUCAACUUUGGUCAACAUGUGUUGAUGGGUUCUUUGAUCCUGGUAUCUUCUGCAGGGAAAGGGUUUCUUCACUUAUCAACUCUCGGAUAUGAUGAUACCUC
rnacentral:lncRNA from 1 species